AAUUGUGUGCCAGGCCCCAGCCCACCAGGUUCACCAGCUUGGAGCCCUGGGCCCCUUGGGUGGGGGUCUGGGCGCCUAGGGGGCUGAUUCUGCCCGCGGGCUCCGUCCCGCCCCUGCCGGCCUUGGGUGCUGCCCAGAUGGUGAAUAAUGCGGGGCCGGGAGGCGGGAGCGCAAACAGGGGGCCCGGCUCAGGCGGGUCCGGGGCCGAAGGCUCCCGAGUGGGCGGGCGCCGGCCACCCGCAUCCCUGUCCCUGAGCCCAGGGGGACGCGCCCACCCCUCCCCCAGGCGGCUGCGCGAGUUCCCGGGAGGGCUGGGGGGUACCCACUGACCCCCAUCAACCAGGCCGUGCCAGAGGGGCGUGGCCAGUGCAGGGGGCGGGGCCGGUAGAGACGGACGAGAGACAGAGAGACAAGGACAGGGCGCGGGCUGCGGAGCGGAGCCCCCGGCUUGGGCUAUUUUUAGCCCCCUCGGACCCCCCCUUCCGGGCCGCGAAGGCUCGUCGCCCCUCCUCCAGCCCCAGAGCACCUCGCGCACCCCAGCGUCCAGAGCUGCCGUGCCCUCCGUCUGUUCCCUCUGAGGACGUGGCAGCGCCGGGGUCCUCUGGGCGGCCCGCCCCUGGCCGUGACUCGGUUUCCCCGGGGGCCCCGGGAGGCCGGACCGCCCCACUCCCCGCUCCGCCCUCCCAGGCCUGGGCCCGGCGCCCGCCCGCGGGGCUCCGUGACAGGGGCGGCCCCAGCGCGUCCCACCGAUCAUCGUGUCCAGGUGUGCCUGAGCCAGCGCCAGUUCUCCCCACCUGCAGCCCCGGCCCGAUGGGGUGGUGACCCUCCCCUCCCCGCUCCAGCGCCAUGUGGCCCAACGGCACUUCCCUGGGGCCCUGUUUCCGGCCAACCAACAUCACGCUGGAAGAGCGGCGCCUGAUCGCCUCUCCCUGGUUCGCCGCCUCCUUCUGCCUGGUGGGCCUGGCGUCCAACCUGCUGGCCCUGAGCGUGCUGGCGGGUGCGCGGCAGGGCAGUUCACACGCCCGGUCCUCCUUCCUCACCUUCCUCUGCGGCCUGGUGCUCACCGACUUCAUGGGGCUGCUGGUCACCGGCGUGAUCGUGGUGUCCCAGCACGCCAUCCUCUUCGACUGGCACGCGGUGGACCCCAGCUGCCGCCUCUGCCAGUUCAUGGGCGUCAUCAUGGUCUUCUUCGGCCUCUGCCCGUUGUUGCUGGGGGCAGCCAUGGCCUCGGAGCGCUACCUGGGCAUCACCCGGCCUUUCUCGCGCCCCACGGUGGCCUCGCAGCGCCGGGCCUGGGCCACGGUGGGGCUGGUGUGGGCGUCGGCGCUGGCGCUGGGCCUGCUGCCCCUGUUGGGUGUGGGCCGUUACACAGUGCAGUACCCCGGCUCCUGGUGCUUCCUCACGCUCGGCGCCCAGCCCGGGGAUGUGGCCUUCGGCCUGCUGUUCACGCUCCUCGGCAGCUUCUCGGUCGGGCUGUCCUUCCUGCUCAACACUAUCAGCGUGGCCACUCUCUGCCACGUCUACCAUGGGCAGGAGGCCGCCCAGCAACGCCCGCGGGACUGCGAGGUCGAGAUGAUGGCUCAGCUCAUGGGCAUCAUGGUGGUGGCCAGCUUCUGCUGGAUGCCGCUGCUGAUCCAUGAGAACAGGCCUGGGAAGGGCACCCCAAGGACAGGACAAGAGCACAUUUGCCAGCCAGAAGCAGCAUUCUGUGGCUGUGGCCCCCGUGGGAACCCAUCAGUGCCAGCAGCUGGGACCCACCCCAGGAACCGGCUCCUUCCCUCCCCUGGAGAUGCACACGCCUGUCACCUCACAAGGACCCUGACCUCCAGCAGACUCGUCCAUGCUGCUGCACAUCGCUCUCCUCCCUGCCCCCCAGGGACGCCCAGAAUGGGCUCUGUCCUGCUCUGAACCAUUGGAGCUGGGGCUUUGAAGCAUGAAUAGGAGUUUACUCACCAGGCAUAAGGGAGAAGGCGUCCCUUCCCUUAGGUAGAAGCGCUGAAUCAUUAAAAAAAACCCUGAGUCCCCUUUGUGGGCAAACUUUUCCAUAAAGGGCCAUAUGGUCUUCAUCGCUCAAACGGUGCUGCGCAGCCCUCCCACCAUGAGCCCCACGGGGCAGCUGUCCCGAGCCACCGAGCAGCAGCUGCUCAUUUACCUGCGUGUGGCCACCUGGAACCAGAUCCUCGACCCCUGGGUGUA